rnacentral:rRNA from 2 species
UUAAAUUGAAGAGUUUGAUCAUGGCUCAGAUUGAACGCUGGCGGCAGGCCUAACACAUGCAAGUCGAACGGUAACAGGAAGCAGCUUGCUGUU